AAGCUCGACGCGCUCACACCUCUGGCCCCAAAUGCAAUUUUUCGGUUCUUUCGAUCUGCAAAGCCAUUGAAGAGGAGAUUUUGGCCAAUCAAUUGAUCCUGCAAGAAGUUCCAUUUGCCGUAUUUUCAAGAGCAUUGGAGCUGAAACGAAGAAAAAAAAAAGAUUUUCCCCUUUUCACAUCUCUAUAACUACGAAGCUUAAAUAUUCAGUUUUCUGAUUGAUUGGAUCUCUUCUUGAGCUUGAUAGAGAUUUCAAGAUGAGGAAAGGAUUGCACCCCCAGAUGCAAUGGAUAUCAUAUGUGACAUAGAGUGGAAGACUGAUUCAGGUUAUGAUGACUAGAAUACAUGACACGGGUAAAGUCUAUCAUUUUAGAGCGAGGCGUCAGAUUGCCCAGAGCCUUGGCCAGGUUGCCAAGUUCAAUCGCCGUUAUGGGCUAAAAACAGAGGAUGAACCCGAAAAGAAAUGAUUUUCAUUCAUAUUGAGUGAAACUUUCAAUUUUACUUUGGCGUGUGAUUUAGAUAUUUGAAUCUUUUGGCUCUGAAUAAUUCUGUAGUUUUUUUUUUUUCAUUCUUGUUGUUUUGUUUGGGGCAUUUUUGUUUUCUUGAAUUGGUUUAUUAGAUGAUUGGUGAAGAAAUGAUUCAUCAAGUUUAAAUUC